CCCUGAGCCGGGUUUAUGGUGAGUUUUGUUGGUUUGCCUUCAGCUGCGUUCGGUGUUUGCUGUGCAAAUCCAUGCAAAGCCCGCUGUACCCGAGGCUCACCGG